rnacentral:rRNA from 1 species
GACGAACGCUGGCGGCGUGCCUAAUACAUGCAAGUAGAACGCUGAAGGAGGAGCUUGCUUCUCUGGAUGAGUUGCGAACGGGUGAGUAACGCGUAGGUAACCUGCCUGGUAGCGGGGGAUAACUAUUGGAAACGAUAGCUAAUACCGCAUAAGAGUAGAUGUUGCAUGACAUUUGCUUAAAAGGUGCAAUUGCAUCACUACCAGAUGGACCUGCGUUGUAUUAGCUAGUUGGUGGGGUAACGGCUCACCAAGGCGACGAUACAUAGCCGAACUGAGAGGGUGAGCAGCCACACUGGGACUGAGACACGGCCCAGUCUGCUACGGGAGGCAGCAGUAGGGAAUCUUCGGCAAUGGACGGAAGUCUGACCGGACAACGCCGCGUGAGUGAAGAAGGGUGUCGGAUCGUAAAGCUCUGUUGUCAGAGAAGAAAGGGUGUGAGAGUGGAAAGUUCACACUGUGACGGUAACUGACCAGAAAGGGACGGCUAACUACGUG